rnacentral:rRNA from 1 species
CCUACGGGUGGCAGCAGUGGGGAAUAUUGCACAAUGGGCGCAAGCCUGAUGCAGCCAUGCCGCGUGUGUGAAGAAGGCCUUCGGGUUGUAAAGCACUUUCAGCGGGGAGGAAGGCGUUAAGGUUAAUAACCUUGGCGAUUGACGUUACCCGCAGAAGAGGCACCGGCUAACUCCGUGCCAGCAGCCGCGGUAAUACGGAGGGUGCAAGCGUUAAUCGGAAUUACUGGGCGUAAAGCGCACGCAGGCGGUCUGUCAAGUCGGAUGUGAAAUCCCCGGGCUCAACCUGGGAACUGCAUUCGAAACUGGCAGGCUAGAGUCUUGUAGAGGGGGGUAGAAUUCCAGGUGUAGCGGUGAAAUGCGUAGAGAUCUGGAGGAAUACCGGUGGCGAAGGCGGCCCCCUGGACAAAGACUGACGCUCAGGUGCGAAAGCGUGGGGAGCAAACAGGAUUAAUACCCGGGUAGUC